GACAGAGGGUGCAAACGUUGUUCGGAAUUACUGGGCGUAAAGCGAGUGUAGGCGGUUUGGUAAGUCGGAUGUGAAAGCCCCGGGCUCAACCCGGGAAGUGCACUCGAUACUACCAGGCUAGAGUAUCGGAGAGGUUGGUGGAAUUCUCGGUGUAGAGGUGAAAUUCGUAGAUAUCGAGAGGAACACCGGUGGCGAAGGCGGCCAACUGGACGAAUACUGACGCUGAGACUCGAAAGCGUGGGGAGCGAACAGG
rnacentral:rRNA from 1 species